rnacentral:rRNA from 1 species
AUACGGAGGGUGCAAGCGUUACUCGGAAUCACUGGGCGUAAAGCGCAUGCAGGCGGUCAGAUAAGUUAGAAGUGAAAUCCUAUAGCUCAACUAUAGAACUGCUUCUAAAACUGUUUGACUAGAGUCUGCGAGGGGAAGAUGGAAUUAGUAGUGUAGGGGUAAAAUCCGUAGAGAUUACUAGGAAUACCAAAAGCGAAGGCGAUCUUCUGGAACAGUACUGACGCUGAGAUGCGAAAGCGUGGGGAGCAAACAGAAUUAGAAACCCUAGUAGUCC